UACGUAGGGACCGAGCGUUGUCCGGAAUCAUUGGGCGUAAAGAGCGUGUAGGCGGCCACUUAAGUCCUGCGUGAAAUCUUGCGGCUCAACCGCAAGCGGUCGUGGGAAACUGGGUGGCUAGAGUGCGGGAGAGGAGAGUGGAAUUCCUGGUGUAGCGGUGAAAUGCGCAGAUAUCAGGAAGAACACCCGUGGCGAAGGCGGUUCUCUGGGCAUUACCUGACGCUGAGGAGCGAAAGUGUGGGGAGCGAACAGG
rnacentral:rRNA from 1 species